GGAGGGUAGCGCCCGUUGGUGGGCAAGCGGCCUUGAAAGCCGUGCCAGGCAGCGAUGUCCUGAGGGUUCGACUCCUUUACCUUCCGC
rnacentral:tRNA from 1 species